CAGAAGACUGCAGUCAAUUUGACUUUGUGGUGACAUUGGGUGCAAAGAAUUUUAACCAAUUGCAUUCCUGUCUUCCAAUUUCUGUCAAGACCCCAACUAGUGAAGGAUGAAGAUUGGUGCAUAGAUCAUUAAUUUUGCACCCAAGUUGGAACCCUUUCAACAGGACCUCGUUCAAGUUUUGAAGUUUAAUUACUAAGGAAAAAAAUUGCACAUAAACAUUUUUUAACUGGUUUGAAGGAAUUGAUGCAUGGUUUUUUAAGAAAAGUUUAACCUUUUUGAUGUCUUGCAUUUAUGUUGAGAAAGAAUUGGGUUAGUUGAUGUUAUAAAAGCUUGUUAAGAUAAACAGACCAUAACCAAUUUUACUUCAGUAACAUAUGAUGUAUUUUUGUAAUCUUAUUUUUUUUUGGUAAUACACAAAAUGUACAUUGUGUAAUACUGCUAUGAGGAAAAAGACAGAAAAUAGAUUAAAGAAAACAUUUCAAAUAUAUAAAAAACUAUUGUUUUGUUCAUAUACUGUCAUUAGCCUGCUGCUUUGGAAAACAAAAAUUACGGUCGAUGUAAUUUCUCUGUUGCCAGACAUAUAGCUUAGCACUUGGGUUCAAACGAAUCAAUUUUACAGGCUCUAAAAGUAAAUGAUACAACAUAACAAAGUGUCCAGCUACUGAGGUCGUCUGUAUGAUAAACUGUUUCUUUCGCCUGUAACAAUUGAUAAGCACCAAUCGCUGGAAAUCAGAACUCGACUUCCUGUUGUUGUCUUUGAUGUUUGACAGAAAUAAACAUUAUGACAUCAACUU
rnacentral:misc_RNA from 1 species